UCAAACGAGAGUUUGAUCCUGGCUCAGAAUCAACGCUGGCGGCGUGCCUAACACAUGCAAGUCGAACGAGAAAGUGGAGCAAUCCAUGAGUAAAGUGGCGUACGGGUGAGUAACACGUGACUAACCUACCCUUGAGUGGGGGAUAACUUCGGGAAACCGAGGCUAAUACCGCAUAAUACCGAGAGGUCAAAGGAGUAAUUCGCUUAAGGAGGGGGUCGCGGCUGAUUAGCUAGUUGGUAGGGUAAUGGCCUACCAAGGCUAUGAUCAGUAUCCGGCCUGAGAGGGCGCACGGACACACUGGAACUGAAACACGGUCCAGACUCCUACGGGAGGCAGCAGUGGGGAAUUUUGCACAAUGGGGGAAACCCUGAUGCAGCAACGCCGCGUGGAGGAUGAAGUCC
rnacentral:rRNA from 1 species